GCACCUCUGGGGUACUCGAGAGAAAGCGGGUAAAAUCCUUGAGCCUAAUUUCUUACCCCGGGAGCGUUCGUAAUGGUUUGGUGUGCAUGACCGCAAGACGGUAAGCCUGAAAACCCUUCAACGCACCCACUUGAACCCCUGGUUCAAGGUCGAAGUUUUCCACGACUUCCUGGAGUGUG
rnacentral:other from 1 species